rnacentral:rRNA from 1 species
GGGCGUAGAGGGCUCGCAGGCGGUUUCUUAAGUCUGAUGUGAAAGCCCCCGGCUCAACCGGGGAGGGUCAUUGGAAACUGGGAAACUUGAGUGCAGAAGAGGAGAGUGGAAUUCCACGUGUAGCGGUGAAAUGCGUAGAGAUGUGGAGGAACACCAGUGGCGAAGGCGACUCUCUGGUCUGUAACUGACGCUGAGGAGCGAAAGCGUGGGGAGCGAACAGGAUUAGAUACCCUGGUAGUCCACGCCGUAAACGAUGAGUGCUAAGUGUUAGGGGGUUUCCGCCCCUUAGUGCUGCAGCUAACGCAUUAAGCACUCCGCCUGGGGAGUACGGUCGCAAGACUGAAACUCAAAGGAAUUGACGGGGGCCCGCACAAGCGGUGGAGCAUGUGGUUUAAUUCGAAGCAACGCGAAGAACCUUACCAGGUCUUGACAUCCUCUGACAACCCUAGAGAUAGGGCUUUCCCUUCGGGGACAGAGUGACAGGUGGUGCAUGGUUGUCGUCAGCUCGUGUCGUGAGAUGUUGGGUUAAGUCCCGCAACGAGCGCAACCCUUGAUCUUAGUUGCCAGCAUUCAGUUGGGCACUCUAAGGUGACUGCCGGUGACAAACCGGAGGAAGGUGGGGAUGACGUCAAAUCAUCAUGCCCCUUAUGACCUGGGCUACACACGUGCUACAAUGGACAGAACAAAGGGCUGCAAGACCGCAAGGUUUAGCCAAUCCCAUAAAUCUGUUCUCAGUUCGGAUCGCAGUCUGCAACUCGACUGCGUGAAGCUGGAAUCGCUAGUAAUCGCGGAUC